AGAGUUUGAUCCUGGCUCAGGAUGAACGCUAGCGAUAGGCUUAACACAUGCAAGUCGAGGGGCAGCACAAGGUAGCUUGCUAUCUGGGUGGCGACCGGCGCACGGGUGCGUAACGCGUAUGCAACUUGCCCUAUACAGGAGGAUAACCCGUCGAAAGACGGACUAAUACUGCGUAUGCUCACAACUUGGCAUCAAGUGGUGAGGAAAGAAAUUCGGUAUAGGAUAGGCAUGCGUCCCAUUAGCUUGUUGGUGAGGUAACGGCUCACCAAGGCAACGAUGGGUAGGGGAACUGAGAGGUUUAUCCCCCACACUGGUACUGAGACACGGACCAGACUCCUACGGGAGGCAGCAGUGAGGAAUAUUGGUCAAUGGGCGAGAGCCUGAACCAGCCAAGUCGCGUGAAGGAUGACUGUCUUAUGGAUUGUAAACUUCUUUUAUACGGGAAUAACAAGAGUCACGUGUGACUCCCUGCAUGUACCGUAUGAAUAAGCAUCGGCUAACUCCGUGCCAGCAGCCGCGGUAAUACGGAGGAUGCGAGCGUUAUCCGGAUUUAUUGGGUUUAAAGGGUGCGUAGGCGGUUUGUUAAGUCAGCGGUGAAAUCUAGAGGCUCAACCUCGAAACUGCCGUUGAAACUGGCGAACUUGAGUGUAGAUGAGGUAGGCGGAAUUCGUGGUGUAGCGGUGAAAUGCAUAGAUAUCACGAGGAACUCCGAUUGCGAAGGCAGCUUACUAAGGUACAACUGACGCUGAAGCACGAAAGCGUGGGUAUCAAACAGGAUUAGAUACCCUGGUAGUCCACGCAGUAAACGAUGAUAACUGGGCGUAUGCGAUAUACAGUAUGCUCCUAAGCGAAAGCGUUAAGUUAUCCACCUGGGGAGUACGCCGGCAACGGUGAAACUCAAAGGAAUUGACGGGGGCCCG
rnacentral:rRNA from 1 species